GAUGAACGCUGGCGGUAUGCUUAACACAUGCAAGUCGAACGGUCACUUCGGUGAUAGUGGCGGACGGGUGAGUAACGCGUGAGAAUCUGUCUUCAGGUCGGGGACAACAGUUAGAAAUGACUGCUAAUACCGGAUGUGCCUUUGGGUGAAAGAUUUAUUGCCUGAAAAAGAGCUCGCGUCAGAUUAGCUAGUAGGUGGUGUAAGAGACUACCUAGGCUCCGAUCUGUAGCUGGUCUGAGAGGACGAUCAGCCACACUGGAACUGAGACACGGUCCAGACUCCUACGGAAGGCAGCAGUGGGGAAUUUUCCGCAAUGGGCGAAAGCCUGACGGAGCAAUACCGCGUGAGGGACGAAGGCUUUUGGGUCGUAAACCUCUUUUCUCAAGGAAGAUGAUGACGGUACUUGAGGAAUAAGCAUCGGCUAACUCUG
rnacentral:rRNA from 1 species